rnacentral:rRNA from 1 species
AGAGUUUGAUCAUGGCUCAGAUUGAACGCUGGCGGCAGGCCUAACACAUGCAAGUCGAACGGUAACAUUUCUAGCUUGCUAGAAGAUGACGAGUGGCGGACGGGUGAGUAAUGCUUGGGAACUUGCCUUUGCGAGGGGGAUAACAGUUGGAAACC